GGAUAAUCUACCCUUAGGACCGGGAUAACCCUGGGAGACUGGGGAUAAUACUGGAUAGGCAAUUAUUCCUGUAAUGGUUUUUUGUUUAAAUGUUUUUUCGCCUAAGGAUGAGUCUGCGGCCGAUUAGGUAGUUGGUUAGGUAAUGGCUUACCAAGCCGUUGAUCGGUACGGGUUGUGAGAGCAAGAGCCCGGAGAUGGAACCUGAGACAAGGUUCCAGGCCCUACGGGGUGCAGCAGGCGCGAAACCUCCGCAAUGUGAGAAAUCGCGACGGGGGGAUCCCAAGUGCCAUUCUUAACGGGAUGGCUUUUCAUUAGUGUAAAGAGCUUUUGGAAUAAGAGCUGGGCAAGACCGGUGCCAGCCGCCGCGGUAACACCGGCAGCUCUAGUGGUAACAAUUUUUAUUGGGCCUAAAGCGUCCGUAGCCGGUUUAAUAAGUCUCUGGUGAAAUCCUGUAGCUUAACUGUGGGAAUUGCUGGAGAUACUAUUAGACUUGAGACCGGGAGAGGUUAGAGGUACUCCCAGGGUAGAGGUGAAAUUCUGUAAUCCUGGGAGGACCGCCUGUUGCGAAGGCGUCUAACUGGAACGGUUCUGACGGUGAGGGACGAAAGUUAGGGGCGCGAACCGGAUUAGAUACCCGGGUAGUCCUAACUGUAAACGAUGCGGACUUGGUGUUGGGGUGGCUUUGAGCUGCUCCAGUGCCGAAGGGAAGCUGUUAAGUCCGCCGCCUGGGAAGUACGGUCGCAAGACUGAAACUUA
rnacentral:rRNA from 1 species